CGAGUUCUGGCUCAGAGUGAACGCUGGCGGCGUGGCUAAGACAUGCAAGUUGAGCGAGAAUAUGCUUUCGGGCAUAGGGAAGCGGCAAACGGGUGAGUAACACGUAAGUAACCUACCCUUGAGACUGGGAUAGCUCAGCGAAAGUUUGAGGUAAUACCGGAUGACAACCAUUGGCGCAUGUUAAUGGAUUCAAAGGGAUGAGAAGAUGCUCAAGGAGGGGCUUGCGGCCUAUCAGCUAGUUGGGGGUGUAACGGACCACCAAGGCAAAGACGGGUAGCCGGUCUGAGAGGACGGACGGCCACAUUGGAACUGAGACACGGUCCAAACAUCUACGGAUGGCAGCAGUUUCGAAUUAUUCACAAUGGGCGAAAGCCUGAUGGUGCGACGUCGCGUGGAGGAAGAAAAGGUCUUCGGAUUGUAAACUCCUGUCAUUAGGGAGCAAAGUGCAAGUGCAGAGCUUGUUUUGAGUUAACCUAAAGAGGAAGCAGUGGCAAACUCCGUGCCAGCAGCAGC
rnacentral:rRNA from 1 species